AUAACAACAUAAAACAAACAGUACCGAAUAAGGAUAUAAAGGUAGCUCCAUCGGCAAUACUAAUGGCGGACAAGGCCUCGUUCUAUGGCUGUAGAUUCAUCAGUGUCCAAGACACACUUGCGGACUUACUUGGUCGCUACUACUUCCACAAAUGUUACAUCGAAGGAGCCGUUGAUUUCAUAUGGGGAAGAGGCCAAUCUAUAUACCAAGUAAUCUCAUAUAUUCUCUCAAUAAAAGCAUGCAGGUUAAGUAUACGGAUGUUGUGAUAAAACAAUACUGUACAAAAAGAUAAUAAUUUAUAUUUAUGGGAUCAAGGAUGGAGCCGAAAUGAUUCGUCUGAAAAACUUCCGACGAUCUAACUUUUAUCGGAAUUUAUUUUCGACGAAUGUUUUGGUCUGUUUUGAUGAGGACUACAUCUGAUGGAAUUCUUUGGAAAUUCAUCGAAGUUGCCGAGAAAUUUCCGAUGGAAUUUUUCUUUUGACGAAAUAGUACUGAUGAGCGAUUUGUUGGAAAUUCGUAGGGAUUGUCUUUUCUCGACGCAUUUCCAAUGAAAUAUGCGGUCAGAAAUCGUUUAUUUUAUUAUAGUGGGAGUCAGUUUGAAGGCUAGGCAACAUCACAAGCGAACAUGCCAAACAAAACCUACCAAGAGUCAACAUACCAAGCAAAAACUGUUAUAUUUUUCUGUUUUCCCGUUCUAAUUGAGCCAAAAUAUAUCUAAAUGAGUUGGUAUUUGGAUGCAGAACUGCGUGAUAAAUGUUAUAGGGGUAACAUCAAAGAAAACGGUGAAUAACAGAGAAAUGUUAGCAGGAUUCAUAACUGCGCAAGGGAGGGAAAGCGAGCAAGACACAAGUGGAUUUGUGUUUUAAUAAAUGUGUGAUCAAAGGAACUGGUAAGGCAUUCCUCGGAAGAGCCUACGGAGGCUAUUCUAGAGUUGUCUUUUAUGGAACACACAUGUCCAAUGUCGUUGUUCCUCAAGGUUGGGAUGCUUGGCAUUAUAAAGGCCAAGAGGAUAAAUCUACAUUUGUGGAGGUAAACAGCACAGGAAAAGGAGCAAGUAAGAAGGGAAGAAUUGGGUGGGAGAGGAAUCUCUCAGCUAAAGAAGUUGAUUUUCUUUUAAAUCCUAAAACUUUCGUCGAUAAAGAUGGUUGGAUGGCCACUCUUCCUUCUUCUCUCGUCUCUUUAGAUUAACCAUCUUCCAUCUUUAAACUUCAGAAUUUGAUUUCGUUUAUAAUGUUAGUGGAGAAAACAUUCUUUAAUUCUUAUGAAAAGAAUAAGAUAUAUAUUUAUGCUGUA